UAAUCUUUAGAACCUAUAAUUUUAAACAAGGUGUCCAAAUGUUAAUGCGAUGGCAAAUCUCAAGAUAUAAAGGUGGUCCUGACAAAGGGUCUCAGCCUGAAACAUCGACUGCACCUCUACUUAGAGAUGCUGCCUGGCCUGCUGCAUUCACCAGCAACUUUGAUGUGUGUUGCUUGAAUUUCCAGCAUCUGCAGAAUUCCUGUUGUUUGCCUGAAAAGAAAACAAGACUGUUCUUGUUUAAAGUCUAUCUCCCUCCCCCACCCCCAAGGUAGGCUCAAACAGAAAUCCUGCAAAAUUUUCACAAUUAGUCACUUCAUUUUAUCAGUAUUUUUACUUCAGUUUUUUUUAAAAAGUGCGUCCACUAUAUUGAGUUAUCCACAUUUCUUUCAAAAAGGCUGUCCACCACAAUGGCCUUUUAUGCCACUUCUUAAGAAUUGAUGGCUGCUGUUUAAAAUUAACCUGCCUUACUGUCCAUCAGCAUUAUUACUCGGAGACUCAAUCUUCCUUCUUGUUAUUUAAACUGACAAACCAAGCAGCAAAGUGUGAAGUAUUCAAAAGUUGCUCUGGAGCUCGGUGGGUCACCCCUGCUGCAUGAAAGAUUGCCGCACUCCGCCCGGAGGCAAUCAGCAAACACGCCACUCCUGCGGCAGCCAGCAGCUGUUAACAGCUCGCACUGAGAUCCAUCAGUGGCACAGCUGGGCCGGAGGGAGCUGGCUCCGUGCCUGAGGGGCCUCAAUUGGACCCCUGUCUACUUCAAUCCUUUCCUGUAGGAACUGCAGCUUUACAGACUUCUGACAGACAGUCAUCGAUGUCUCAUUCGCGGAUACAGACCGCUACAAACACAAAUUUGUCGGUGAUUCACGCAAUUCCCGCGUGGUGCCUGCAGCUUUUAAGAUGACGAUUUGCUUAAGACCAGAAGGCCAUCAGACAUUGGUGAAGAAUUUAAAACUCAAAUUUGUUGUCUUUUGCACAUCGGCAUCAGAUGUGAUCUGGUGGUAUCAGAAACGAUCUGGCUAGCGUGGAUUGGGACAGGCUGUUUUCUGGCAAAGGUAUUUGGGGAUGUGGCAUGCAAAUUGUGAAUGGAUCUCCAAUCAAGUUGUAGUUGUUUCAGCCAAUCAUGGCUCAACAAUGUUGACCCUUCUGUUUUUAUCACAUACAAGCCCAAUGUGACUCGUUGCUUAUUGUAUUUCACUGUUAUGAAUGUCAUUACCACAAGAGUUACUUUUUCUCCAGUAUAUGUCCUUAGUUGAGUAUCUGCAGGUUUCAGUUCAUUAUCUUGAAAUGCCGUGGACUCAUUUUGUGGAAUGACUGAAACAGCUGGGCCAGUGUCCAAUUCCAUUUUAAUUAAUUUGCUGUUCACUUCGGGUGUAAACUGUAUUUCUUUUCUCCUGUACUUUUCACAUUGUAAAUCUUAAGACCAUGCAGUCAUGUAUCACCCUCAUCAUUAUCAAAUUUUUCAUCAAAAGCAUGCAGAUUAGUGCUAUUUUUGAAAAUGCAACCUGACUUUAGUAAUUCAUCUUUUUAUCUUUUUCUCUUCCCUGCACAUGCCACUUAUAAUUGCCUGCCAUCAUGCUCUUUGUACAGUAUGUGUCCUACUGUGUUGCAUUUGCUGCAAGUUUCACCUUUAAACCUGCAUUGGUCUGGUGUAUGUUAGCCCCUACCACAAUGGUAACAGAAUUAGUUGGGCUGUGCAGGUUUCUGUUUAGAUGUUGCAAUUUGUUCACAUUCACUUUUGUUCUUUUGUCUCACUCACCAAACCCAUGGAUCUGCUUCCUUGUAACAAGCCUCCGCUCAGGAAUCAAGAUAAUCCCAAUUUCCAUUGAGCUGUAAAAUUCCAACAGUGCUUGUGUUGGAGCAUAAAAGAGAAUGAGCCGAACACUAAAAGAUUUCCGUAAGUCUGUACCAGCAAAACAAAACUGCAUUCCAACAUGAAUCUUUUUGGGAAGUACCUGCAGGCAAAGGUACACAUCAGUGAUGAAAUUCACCAGCACAACCAAUGCAUCACCAGUGUAUUUAGCCAUCUGAAGUGAUAGUGUGUUUGAAAAUCAAGCCAUCAUAUGUGGGCAGUUGUGAUCUCUAUCCUUCGGUACACUUCUGAAACAUGCAUUUGCUACAGCAGGUACCCAAGUGCACAGGAUAGUUGUCAACAAUCCUCUAAAUUCAUUGGCAGCAUAAGCCAACUAAUGCUAACAUCUUCUCCUAGUCCAUGCCCCUAGUACUGAGGCCCUAAUCAUACUUAGCUGGCUCUGUUGAGUAGAUCAUAUCAUUUCUGUGCACAAUACCAAACCAGACAAUCUAACACAAGCUCUGUCAAAGGAAGCAGUUUUAACAGGUGGAUAGUGGAAGCAAUUCAGGGGUGUUUUCAAAGUCUCCUUAAGCAGGUAUAACAUCCAUUGGAAUCCCUGUCCCACAACACUCAAAAUGGGGAAGGGGUAUUCCAGAUGGCACUGAGAACGUGGAGUCCAUGCACAGGAAGCACUCAGAAACCUCCUGUCACUCGUGAGGUGGUACCAGCUUCCAAACUUACAAUACACCCUUUCAAACCCAUCUGUGACAGAACUUGCAUUUCCCCUUUUGGCCUUAUUAGUCAUUUCAUAAACCACAGCCUAAAGUGGAAAUAUGUCCUUCUUAACUUUCAUUGUCUAAAAAGAAGGCAUGCAAUAUAAAUUUGGAAUGGAAAUUAAUGAUAAUAAAGCACUGGUUGAAAUAAGUUUCUGAGCUGUGACAGAUUGGAAAAGGAAAUAGGAAAUAUCAUAUGGAGUCGUAUUAUUAAAAUACUAAGCAGUUCUCUUGCCUGCAGUAUCUGGAGACAGGGCCAGCGUCCUGUUGGCCGAAAGCUGGUUCCAAGAGAAAAAAUCUAUGACAAAAAAUUCCUGUUUGAGUGUCGAAUUUCCCUGCAUUCUUAUCCUGCAGGCAGUAGGUUAUGGUAUGCAAUGGAGAUUAGAAUCAGAUACAUUCUGUAUCAAUUAGAACAACACAUGGCUAAAUACACUAAUUUACAAGCCAGGACAAAUUUAGAUAGCACUUCUGUUGUAGCAGGAUCAUAUAGUAGCAAAACUAAAGGAAAACGCCUCCACCCAGCUGCAUGCUGUAAAUUCACUCCAACACAAACAAUGUCAAGAUUAGGCUGAAAAGAUCUGGCUGCUCCAUGUGUUAAAUGAUGAUUGGAAGCACUGACUCACGUUAUCCUGACUGAGAAAUAUUGAUUUCUAAUGCUUACCUGUGUCUGAGAUUCACAUGAAAAUGUUAUAUACAAUGAACUAGAACGGUAUAUUUCUAUAAAAUAAAAUCAUACAUGAUGACCUG